rnacentral:rRNA from 1 species
CAGCCAAGUCGCGUGAAGGGAGAAGGUUCUAUGGAUUGUAAACUUCUUUUGCAGGGGAAUAAAGUUCGCUACGUGUAGCGAUUUGUAUGUACUCUGCGAAUAAGGAUCGGCUAACGCCGUGCCAGCAGCCGCGGUAAUACGGAGGAUCCGAGCGUUAUCCGGAUUUAUUGGGUUUAAAGGGUGCGUAGGCGGGCCUGAAAGUCAGCGGUGAAAGUUUGCAGCUUAACUGUAAAAUUGCCGUUGAAACUGUGGGUCUAGAGUGUAAAUGAGGUAGGCGGAAUGUGUUGUGUAGCGGUGAAAUGCUUAGAUAUAACACAGAACACCGAUUGCGAAGGCAGCUUACUGGGAUACAACUGACGCUCAUGCACGAAAGCGUGGGGAGCAAACAGGAUUAGAUACCCUGGUAA